rnacentral:lncRNA from 1 species
CACAAACUCUGAAGGAGAUCAUGUUGGGAUGAGAGCUUGACUGAAUACUGCUGUAAUUCUGUAUGUGAACAAACAGUAUUGCAACAUUAUUUUUUGAGAGCUGUAAAACAAGAAUACAAGCC